rnacentral:rRNA from 1 species
AGACCAAGAAGACUAAGUCAUGCGUUUUUGGUCAAAAGACAGUUAGAAGAUUAUUAAUAGUUUGUUUAAUUACUAUUAAGAGGUAGAAUUCGUAAAUAGUUUAGAGGUCUAAUAAUAACUAGUACACUGAAGCUGUGAUAGCCCUGAGGGAAACUGGGAUUAGAUACCCCACUAUUCUUGGAGGUAAAAAGAUAUAGAUUUACCAGAGUACUACGAAUUAAGCACAUUUAAAACUCAAAGAGCUUGGCGGUGUUUUAGACUUUUCAGGGGAACCUGUCUCAUAAUCGACAAUCCACGAAAUACCCUGCCUUUAUUUGCUUUCAAUUUGUAUACCGUCGUCGGCAGGUAACUUUUUAGAAAAAAGGAGUUAGCAAAAGGAUUAAUAAAUAAAUCCUUACGUCAGAUCAAGGUGCAGUCAACAUAAAGGAGAGGAUGGGUUACAAUUAUUAAAAUUAUAAAUACGAAGUAGUACUUUGAAACAUGACUAUGAAGGAGGACUUGAAAGUAAACUAAAUUAGAUAAAUAUCUUGAAUUAAGCUCUGAAACGUGC